rnacentral:rRNA from 1 species
UAAUACCGUAUAACAAUCGAAACCGCAUGGUUUUGAUUUGAAAGGCGCUUUCGGGUGUCGCUGAUGGAUGGACCCGCGGUGCAUUAGCUAGUUGGUGAGGUAACGGCUCACCAAGGCGACGAUGCAUAGCCGACCUGAGAGGGUGAUCGGCCACAUUGGGACUGAGACACGGCCCAAACUCCUACGGGAGGCAGCAGUAGGGAAUCUUCGGCAAUGGACGAAAGUCUGACCGAGCAACGCCGCGUGAGUGAAGAAGGUUUUCGGAUCGUAAAACUCUGUUGUUAGAGAAGAACAAGGAUGAGAGUAACUGUUCAUCCCUUGACGGUAUCUAACCAGAAAGCCACGGCUAACUACGUGCCAGCAGCCGCGGUAAUACNUANGUGGCAAGCGUUGUCCGGAUUUAUUGGGCGUAAAGCGAGCGCAGGCGGUUUCUUAAGUCUGAUGUGAAAGCCCCCGGCUCAACCGGGGAGGGUCAUUGGAAACUGGGAGACUUGAGUGCAGA